CUGAAAGAUGAGUCCAUACAAGAUGGUAAUAACGUCGUUCAUGAUCCUCUUGGUCUCAUCGGCCUUAAUUGAUGAGAGCAUGGGGUGUAUGGAUAUCCUUGGACCGUGUAUGCCUGACUGUGGUAGCAAGUGCAAGACCAUUCACGGCGAAAAAGCCAUUGGCUAUUGCGACCGUGGUGGCAUCUGCAUUUGCAGCUACCUUUACCCUGCCCAUUUUCAACAGACCGACCCAUGAACUUUCAACACUCUCUCAUAUAUCAUAUGAUAUUUACCGUAAUAAUAAUAAUAAUAUAUAAUCAUAUGCAUAAGCAUUCCA